ensembl:lncRNA SNHG5 small nucleolar RNA host gene 5
GCUGCGCACUUCGGUCUUUUACGUCGGCCUUCGCGAGCGUCUGGGCGGGUGGUAGGAACAAUGGCGCUGUCUUCAGUGGCACAGUGGAGCAGCUCUGAAGAUGCAAAGAUACACGAAAAAACUUCCAGAACAUCUGGGAGAAUAUUUAAUGGAAAAUCGCUUGGUUAAAACCUGACACUUUUAACAGUGAGGGUCGCUGUCUGCCCAUUGAUAGAGGCCAGAUUGUCUUGGAAGUUCCAAAGUUGCAACGAUUUCUGGCUAGUGCCACGAGGUUUACUUGACUGUUGUGUGAAAAGCUGAUAAGAAAACCAUCCAGAAAAAAGCUCUUCGUUUUACAAACAUGAAAAUAAAACAUGUAAUUUUGGAUUAUGUUCCUUUUUGUUAUUACUUUUAAAUAGGUCCUGAAAUAACAUGGGGAGCAUUAAAUGGAAAAUCCACUAACCAGCCUUGUAAUCAAAUUACUGUGAGUGAAUGUUUCGGGUUUGUGCAGGGUACAAUGUAAGGGUUUUUGGAUCAGUGUAAGAGUGGAGAGACAGGAAUUAGAAGUAAUUGUUACUAAGCAAAUCAUGGAAUAUUUAGUUUUGAUGUAACUAUAAUUUUGAAAGCCUGGAUGCUUAAGUUGAGAAAUGGGGGAAUGAGAUACAGAAAAUAAGGAGCACAAUAGAAUAAUAAUAGCAGUUUAUUAAGUAUGGUCAUGAGGGAAGGUUACUGAUAAAACAAUCUGGUAAAGACAUUCAGGCUUGCUAAAAUCUAGGAAGAGGUCAUUUGGCAGGAUGGGUUACAUAAUGCUAUCUGAUACUACCAAAUAAAAUGAGAGAGAAGCCUUAGGCAUGUAACGUUUGGAGAUAGAAAAUGUACCUUCACUAUGAAGGUAGUGUGUGUAAGAUGGCAGUUGAAAGCAUUGCUUGUGUUUAUGUUUAUACCCUUGAUCUCUGAUGCCCUUACCUACCGUACUUAAAACUCUGUUAAUCAUUGUCUUUCUCCCCCUCCCACAACUUCUGCAUAAAAUUUUAAGAUCUGUGUUUCAUUAGUUCAAGAGUGCCUAGAAUAGGGCCAGGCACUGUUAUACAGUAUGUGGUAAAAGACUAUUGAGAUUCCAGUUUUCAAGGAAGAGUGCCAUUACCGUUUUGUUAAAGCUGGCAAACAAGACAAAGUUGUGAAAUAGACUGGUUGCUUUGGAGCCCUCUGACCGCUUUUCCUGUAGCUCCUUCUACCUCCCUUGCCUCCCAAUAGAUUUUUUAAUAUGUCACAUUAUCUAUCGAAAUUAGUACUCCACAUUUAUAUGCACUGGCUUGUGCUAGGCUCUGCCAAGACUCCUGAAAUAAAACCGUUUUGUCAACAGUGGCACAAGAUGCCAAGGAAAAGUCAAGCUAUGAAGGAUUCUUGAAAAUAGAACAAGUGGAUUUGAGUCUAAACCAGCACAGAUGUUGGGACAAUAGGCCUAAGAAAUAACUGAGCAAAGACAGUAUGGUUCAGAGUCUGAGACAAAUAUUGAGGAUUUGGGUACCAACAGGGUGGAUAGGUGUAGGACAGAAAACUGAUGUUAUAAAUACCCUUAAGAUUCUUGAGCAAGGAAGUUACAAAUGUAAGACUAUUCCUGUAAUGAGAGUCAGAUCCAAAAAGGUUUAAUUUGAAUGGAAUUGAACUUGAAAGUUCAGUUUCAAUUACUGACUCCUUGAUGGCAAUUUCUAAUCACACAGGAGGCUGUUAGUCUGUCAUAGCCUCCUAAAAUCUCAGGCGAUAUUGGUUAAGAUCAGUUUCCUAAGUUUACCCUCCAGAGCAUAGCUGCUGCUUGGGACCAGGUGCAGUGACUCAUGCCUGUAAUCCCAGCACUCUGCUUGAGCCCAGGAAGAGACCAGCCUGGAAACAGCAAGUUGUCAUCUCUAUAAAUAAGUAAAACUGGGUGUGGUAACAUGCGCUUGUUCCAGCUACUCGGGAGGCUGAGAUAGGAGGAUCACUUGAACCUAGGAGGUUGAAGCUACAAUCAGCCAUGAUUGCACCUCUGUCUUCUAUCCUGGGCAACAGACCAGGCUAAAAAAAAAAAAAAUCCUUAAGGAGCUUGACUAUAAUAGACUGGGAUAUGCUUGAUUCUGAUUGGUUUCAGAAGUUGAAAGAUAAUUUACGUGUCUGACUUUAGUGACUUCAGCCAACAGGAAUUUUUCCUCUGCCUUACACCAGGCUUCCAGGUAAUCUUAAAAUACAGUAAGCUCAAACCUACCAUUUGGUGCUUUCUAAAAUUAGUUCUAUUGCCAGAAACCCAAUAUCCACUGUGCUUGGCUCCCCAGUCAAGUGUCCUGUGAACUAACAUCAAUCCUCACUGCCCUGUGUAUAUGAAAGAGCUUUCAGCUGUUUUCAUGGUUUUUCUAACAGUUCCCCAGUUGGGAUUAGAGCCUUUGUUUGAAUCAGCCUACUAGAAUAACCUGCUUAUCUUUUGCCAGUCCUUUAAUAGGAGUGGGACCCUCCUUCCUGCCUUUUCAAAAGCUUGGUUCUGGAUCCAAACAAUACUUAUAGUACUUAGUUAUAGGUAUAUAUUAGUAUACAUGACUUAACUGUCUGAAUAUUGCCACUGCCUCUGAUCUUACUCCAUCCUGUAGAGUAACAUCUUGUAGAGAGCAUCUUGGGGCAGAAGAGGAUACAUUUUCAGUAUGAGAACCAGACUCCUUGUCUUACUCUCAUGAGUCCUGGUCUCCUCCUGGUACUACUAUUCCACUGCUGAGGUCUCAGCAUGCCAUAUAGCUGAGUUUGUCAGAGUUAAUGAGGGUUUAAUCAGAAUCCCAAAUCAAGUACAGUCCAGUCCAACCUAUUUGAGAACUUUAUCUUUCUUGUUACUUCAUUUAUUAUAGUUCACUUCAAAAGAGCAAUGGAAAAGGCACUUCAGAAUAUGCAAAAAAUGUAUCAUUUGAAGGCAAUAAUUUACAAAUAUGCAUUACUUCACUGAGAUCAGGAAACUUUUGUCCUUGCCUCCUGUAGUGAAUAUAACUGAUGUACAAAAAUGUGUACAUUUAAAAAGUAUACAAUUUGAUGGGUUUUUCAUAGGAAUAUACUCAUGAAACCAUCAACAUAAUCAAGAUAAUGACUAUAUCCAUCACUCCCAAAAAUAUUCUAUUGUUGGCUUGAUUUUGAACAUGUUAAGUUUAAAUAGCACAUGUUAUUCAAAUUGGGAUUUUUGAGUAGGCAGUUAGAUAUAGAGGUCCACAGUUCAGAGGAGAGGUCUGACUAAAAUAAAAUUGGGAGUUAACAUAUGGAAGGCAUAUUUAAAGCCAUAAGAUUAGAUGAGAUCACCAAUAGAGAAAAAAGUCCAAGAGUUGAACCCUGUGGCCUUUCAGGAUUAGGACAUUCCAGGUUUAUUCAAAUCCUAGAGAAUAAUUUGUGCCAAGGGACAAAAAUCAGGACGCAGGAAUCUGCUGCCAAGUUCAAGGGCCAUAUUUGUUAGGAACAGAAACUAAGUAGAAAACCAAGGAUGCCUGGAAUGAAAUGAGCCAAGAAAAAAGGAUAAGAACCAAGCAAAACUUGCUGGAAAUUGCCUUGGAUUUAAUAUAGACCAUUGGUCAACAUGAAAACUGAAGAUAGUGUCUGAUCAUGACUUUGCAAAGUAACAGACGAAGUGAUCUUCAGGAGAGAAUAAGAUGAGGAAUUUAGGAAGUAUGAUAAGGCUUU